AUGAUCUUGAGUGUGCGUAGGAAUUUUUUUGAAAUUACUACGUUCCCCAACAAUGGCCUGGGUUUUGAGGAACGUGUCAUAGCAAAUGCAGAUGCCAGGCACUCUGCCAAUGGCGAGAACGCAUUAGCUGGUGUUCAGGGUGAUCGCAACCAGAGUGCUGCCAAUUCUUUCAGCACGAAUGCCCUACAGUGUCUCGCAGCGCCGGAGAAAAGGAAGGGUCCAGGCAGGCCAACAAACAGCAGGGAUAAGGCGCCGUAUGAAGGUCUUAGCAUAAGUAAGAGUAAGUGGGGUGGGGGUGUGGUCUGCAUCCUCCCCUUGAGAAUCACCAUUGCCAUACUGAUUCGAAUUUCUUUGAAAAACGGUGUCCUGCAUCUGAUGGAGGUUUCUGUAGCUGAUUCAGCGACCAGUGGCGCAACCAUGGGAGCGGCUAGAGAUGAGUUCGACGGCAUGAAUCUUCCUUUGACCUUCGCCUCCCUCGCGAUUGAUUUCCACAAGUAG
rnacentral:rRNA from 1 species